rnacentral:rRNA from 11 species
GCGACCGAUAGUGAACCAGUACCGUGAGGGAAAGGUGAAAAGCACCCCGACAAGGGGAGUGAAACAGACCCUGAAACUGGACGCCUACAAGCAGUCGGAGGGCGCAAGCCUGACGGCGUACCUUUUGUAUAAUGGGUCAGCGACUUCGUCUCUCGAGCAAGCUUAAGCCGAUAGGUGUAGGCGUAGCGAAAGCGAGUCUUAAUAGGGCGACUGAGUUCGAGGGAUGAGACCCGAAGCCGGGUGAUCUAGCCAUGAGCAGGUUGAAGGUGAGGUAACACUCACUGGAGGACCGAACCCACGUCUGUUGAAAAAGACGGGGAUGACUUGUGGCUAGGGGUGAAAGGCCAAUCAAACUCGGAAAUAGCUGGUUCUCCGCGAAAUCUAUUUAGGUAGAGCGUCUCGUGAAUACCCAUGGGGGUAGAGCACUGGAUGGGCUAGGGGGUCCCAACGACUUACCAAACCUAACCAAACUCCGAAUACCAUGGAGUAAUGCGAGGCAGACACACUGCGGGUGCUAAGGUCCGUAGUGAAAAGGGAAACAGCCCUGACCGCCAGCUAAGGUCCCUAAGUUAUCACUAAGUGGGAAACGAUGUGGGAGUGCUUAGACAACCAGGAGGUUGGCUUAGAAGCAGCCACCCUUUAAAGAAAGCGUAACAGCUCACUGAUCAAGCGCUCCUGCGCCGAAGAUGUACCGGGGCUUAAGCCAUUCACCGAAACUGCGGGUGUACAUUUCUUUCGGGAUUUGUACGCGGUAGCGGAGCGUUCCGUAAGUCUGUGAAGGGUGACCCGCGAGGGCACCUGGAGAUAUCGGAAGUGAGAAUGCUGACAUGAGUAGCGACAAAGAGGGUGAGAGACCCUCUCGCCGAAAGUCCAAGGGUUCCUGCGCAACGCUAAUCGGCGCAGGGUUAGCCGGCCCCUAAGGCGAGGCCGAAAGGCGUAGUCGAUGGGAAUGCAGUUAAUAUUCUGCAGCUUGGUGGUAGUGACGGAUGCAGUGUGUUGUAUCUCCUUAUUGGAUUGGGGGUGCAGCGAAUGUGUUCCAGGAAAUAGCUCCACUUUAUAAACCGUACCCGAAACCGACACAGGUGGACUGGUAGAGAAUACCAAGGCGCUUGAGAGAACGAUGUUGAAGGAACUCGGCAAAAUACCUCCGUAAGUUCGCGAGAAGGAGGCCCAGUUUCUAGGCAACUAGUGGCUGGGGGCACAAACCAGGGGGUGGCGACUGUUUACUAAAAACACAGGGCUCUGCGAAG